AACGAACGCUGGCGGCAUGCCUAACACAUGCAAGUCGAACGAGACCUUCGGGUCUAGUGGCGCACGGGUGCGUAACGCGUGGGAAUCUGCCCUGGGGUGCGGAAUAACUCGGAGAAAUCCGUGCUAAUACCGCAUAAUGUCUUCGGACCAAAGAUUUAUUCGCCCCUGGGAUGAGCCCGCGUAGGAUUAGCUAGUUGGUGGGGUAAAGGCCUACCAAGGCGACGAUCCUUAGCUGGUUUGAGAGGAUGAUCAGCCACACUGGGGACUGAGACACGGCCCAGACUCCUACGGGAGGCAGCAGUGGGGAAUAUUGGACAAAUGGGCGGAAAGACCUGAUCCAGCAAUAGCCGCGUGAGUGAUGAA
rnacentral:rRNA from 1 species